GAUGAACGCUAGCGGCAGGCUUAACACAUGCAAGUCGAGGGGUAUUGGUUUUCGGACCAAGAGACCGGCGCACGGGUGCGUAACGCGUAUGCAAUCUACCUUUUGCAGAGGGAUAGCCCCAGAGAAAUUUGGAUUAAUACCUCAUAGUAUAGUACUUUGGCAUCAAGGAACUAUUAAAGUCACAACGGCAAAAGAUGAGCAUGCGUCCAUUAGCUAGUUGGUAAGGUAACGGCUUACCAAGGCUACGAUGGGUAGGGGUCCUGAGAGGGAGAUCCCCCACACUGGUACUGAGACACGGACCAGACUCCUACGGGAGGCAGCAGUGAGGAAUAUUGGACAAUGGGCGCAAGCCUGAUCCAGCCAUGCCGCGUGCAGGAUGACGGUCCUAUGGAUUGUAAACUGCUUUUGUACAGGAAGAACACUGGUUCGUGAACCAGCUUGACGGUACUGUAAGAAUAA
rnacentral:rRNA from 1 species